rfam:Salmo salar isolate Sally breed double haploid chromosome ssa15, whole genome shotgun sequence.
UGCACUCACUACUGUAAGUCACUCUGGAUAAGAGUGUCUGCUAACUGACUAACA